rnacentral:rRNA from 1 species
AACGAACGCUGGCGGCGCGCCUAACACAUGCAAGUCGAACGGGGCGCCAUCCUUCGGGAUGGCGGCCAGUGGCGGACGGGUGCGUAACGCGUGGGAACCUGCCCCGGGCUCUGGGACAACCGCGGGAAACUGCGGCUAAUACCGGAUGACGCCCUUCGCCAGAGGGGCCAAAGUCCUGCCUUCGGGUAGGGCGGCGUGGGAGGGGCCCGCGUCCGAUUAGCUGGUUGGUGGGGUAACGGCCCACCAAGGCAUUGAUCGGUAGCUGGUCUGAGAGGACGAUCAGCCACACUGGGACUGAGACACGGCCCAGACUCCUACGGGAGGCAGCAGUGGGGAAUCUUGCGCAAUGGGCGAAAGCCUGACGCAGCCAUGCCGCGUGAAUGAUGAAGGUCUUAGGAUUGUAAAAUUCUUUCACCGGGGACGAUAAUGACGGUACCCGGAGAAGAAGCCCCGGCUAACUUCAUGCCAGCCGCCGCGUAAUAC